UCGUAACAAGGUUUCCGUAGGUGAACCUGCGGAAGGAUCAUUAUUGAAUUUUGAAUGGGGUUGUAGCUGGCCUUUCAAAGGGCAUGUGCACGCCUCGCUUCAAUCCACUUACCCCUGUGAACACUCUGUAGGUCGGCUCAAGGGACAAAUYCUUAACGGGGUUUGUUUUGGGCCUUCCUAUGUUUUAUUACAAACGUUUAAAGUCUAAAGAAUGUACUCGCGUCUAACGCAUUAUAUACAACUUUCAGCAACGGAUCUCUUGGCUCUCGCAUCGAUGAAGAACGCAGCGAAAUGCGAUAAGUAAUGUGAAUUGCAGAAUUCAGUGAAUCAUCGAAUCUUUGAACGCACCUUGCGCUCCUUGGUAUUCCGAGGAGCAUGCCUGUUUGAGUGUCAUGGAAUUAUCAACUUGUUUAUCUUUGUAUGAACGCAGUUGGAUUUGGAGGCCAUUGCCGGAUUGUAAUGACUCGGCUCCUCUUGAAUGCAUUAGCUCGAACCUUUGCGGAUCAGCUUUUGGUGUGAUAAUUGUCUACGCCGCUAACUGAGACRCAUGAAUGGGAUYGGCUUACAGUCGUCCUUGAACGGACAAUUUAUUAUGACUUCUGACCUCAAAUCAGGUAGGAUUACCCGCUGAACUUAAGC
rnacentral:rRNA from 1 species